GGAUGUGAGAGCAACCUGGCUGUGCACCUGUCACCCCAUUGAUCACCGGGGCUGAUUCUGCACUCUGAAUGGCUAGGUAGCUGUCCCUUUCCUCCCUCACUGCUCCACUUGCACCCCUUCCAAAGCUGUGCAUUCAGUGGAACUGGAUGACCAACCCGAUGGAGGAGGAGCUCUGAUCCUUUUCAAGGAAUCCCCAGUGACCUAAAGACCUCCCAUCAGGCCCUGCCUCUUAAAAUUCCACCACCUCCAAUAGUACCACUCUGGGUACCAGGCCUU
rnacentral:snRNA from 1 species